rnacentral:rRNA from 1 species
AGUGAACGCUGGCGGUAGGCCUAACACAUGCAAGUCGAACGGCAGCACAGUAAGAGCUUGCUCUUACGGGUGGCGAGUGGCGGACGGGUGAGGAAUACAUCGGAAUCUACUUUUUCGUGGGGGAUAACGUAGGGAAACUUACGCUAAUACCGCAUACGACCUACGGGUGAAAGCAGGGGAUCUUCGGACCUUGCGCGAUUGAAUGAGCCGAUGUCGGAUUAGCUAGUUGGCGGGGUAAAGGCCCACCAAGGCGACGAUCCGUAGCUGGUCUGAGAGGAUGACCGGCCACAUGGGGACUGAGAUACGGACCAGACUGCUACGGGGGGAAGCAGUGGGGAAUAUUGCACAAUGGGCGAAAGACUGAUGCAGCGACGCCGCGUGCGGGAUGACGGCCUUCGGGUUGUAAACCGCGUUCGCCAGGGAAGAAGCGUGAGUGACGGUAAGUGAAGAAGAAGCACCGGCUAACUACGUG